UUAUCUGCCGGUUCUAAUUCCUUCGAGAUCCCUCUCUUGAUCGCCUCCGGUCCUCCUCCGGAACUAGCCCGACCUGCUGAAGCCGCCCUCCCUCGUCGGACCACCGCCGAAGCAGCACACCAGUGCUGCCGCCCACUCCGCCCUCUUCCUGUUCCUCCGUUCCCUGUUAAGCAUCGGAGACAGUCAUGGAGCAGUAGGCAAUAGGCGUAGGCGGCGCGACUUGGAUGGGAGCGGAUGUGGCGGAGUGCGAGGAGGAGCGCGUCUUCCCCGUGGCCGCGCCCCAGUAGAGGAGCACAGGGAAGGCCGCGCGCGGGCGCCAGGAGCCGGAGGAGGUCCGGAGCCUGCACGCUGCGGCCGGGCAAUGCCUCGAGGAGUGCGUUGGUGGUGCUCCGCUCAUCCUCCCCUCCUCCUUCGCGGCGGCAGGAAUGAGCUGGCAGCGUGCAUUUGGGCCUGGAUUAGGAUGGGAGGUCGGGGAGGCGGGAUCGGAAUCGGAGCCUGCGGAGGAGCAGGUAGUGUGGCGCCUGGCCGCACCUGGCCCGCACACGCGCUGCUGGCCGGAAUCGCCAUGGAGUUGGUCAGUCGAUCUCUGUUCUUGAAUCAGUCGGGCUUCCCUCUUCCUCUUCCUCCCUUCCCAGCCUCAUCUAUUGGUGGAGAAGCUGCACGUUCACGCGUCCAUAUGGAUGACGCCCAGCCGCCCACCAAUUGCUCAAGGCAAGGUGUUGCCUAGACAACGUUUCCAGGAGUUGCUGCUGAAUAGCACUUGCAGAGCUAAUUUAGCAAUUGAUUUACACAGACAACCAAUAUUUACUGCAGCUCCAGCAAAUAACCUGUUAAUCCAUAUAUUCAAAUAUUUCAAGUUUUGAUGUUCAUGUAUCGUGAAUUUAUGACUAAUGGUAAAAUAUGCAGACUGCAAAUCCAUAGCAUCUGUAUCUUAUCUUAUAUUCUAACCUUGAAUCAAAUUUGAUUCUUCAAUUUAUUUAUAACUGAGAUGUUACAAAUAAAUUGGUCUGUGUUAAUUGCAGAACAACGUGUGCACAAACCCAUAAUAUACUCUUACAGGUAAGUCGAUCUCCAUUCCUUGAAUCUCACUACUACUUAUUCUAACAAAAUCUUACCAUGUAUUUUCAGGAACUAGCACCAGGAAGUGAUCCCAAAUAAUUAAAGAUCAGGAGCAAUAAAAAAGUUGGACAACCGUGAGCAACAGGAGAGGAAGAAGCUAAAAAACUAAAGAAUGAUCAAAGGAUGUCCAGAUUCAGCACCCAAUUUGUGGUUUUGCUCUAUUGGUGUAGUGGUUGCACGACACCCAAGCAUACCAGUCUCAUCCAGUAGAUCCAGAGCAUACUUCCGUUAGGAAGAUCCGGACUUCGUUGUUGAAGAUGUCGAGUAGAUGUUGCGUCCGCACCCAAUUUUGCCUGUGGUGUCGGCCCUCUGCAAGGUGCUUCUGCUGGCGCGAUACUCUGAGCCCGAGCUAGAUCCCAUGUGGGUCGUGCUUUGGUGUAUUACCGUAGCCUUUUUACUUCUUAUUAUCGUUUGUAUCGAGUGUCCGCCUCCUCGGAGGUUUGUACGGUGAUGUACCAUCUGAUGUAAUAAAUGUGUAUCAGCCUCCUGGGACUGAUAUUUGUAUCACAUUUAAGUUACCUCUUAUGAGGGGACGCUUCAUGAGUGAACCGCAUCAACAACAGAGUUACUCGAGGAUGUUGUUUCUUGAUUGUUCAAUUGAGAAUCCUUCCUGAUUUCCUUCCA